rnacentral:tRNA from 1 species
GGCCCAAUCGUCAAGUGGUUAAGACACGGUUUUUUCAUGGCUGUCUCCUGAGUUCGAUCCUCAGUUGGGCUA